AUAACCUAUGCAACCUACCUAUUCCUUAUUAAGGGAAAUAAAUGAUUUGUUCGUGACUAAUAUAAAUAUCGGAGAGAAAAAAAUAAUCUUUUGUUUCAACAAGAUUUUGUGCCUGUCCUUUUUUAGCUGUCUGCGGUCUAAAGUUAUUUUCAGACCGUUCUCACUUCAGCGAGUUGCACGUUCCUGUUGUUAGCAAUAUGAAAAUUGGAACUUCCAUAGCGGUAAACGAAAGAAAGAAAUCUCGUAGAACGUUAUGAAAUUACGCGACAAUGAUAAUCGUGCUUAAGUUUUAAAGCAAAGCAGAACGUUCACUAGAAUUCCAUACACACAGAUUGCGUUUAGUCAUUCGUGCAGUAAGAAAUAACUACGUCCGAGUCAUUCUAAUUUGAACACUCGGGGCCACGAACGAGCGAUAAAAUGUGUGCCGGCUACUAAAUGCAUUAUCAUCCGGAAGUUGACGUGUCCUUGAUACCAGAUCAACCAUACGUUUUUACCGGGCAUCGACGUGCCUCGAAACCGGAAAAUAGUUUGUGAAAACGUUAACCGAUUUCUAAAAUACCGAGAAACGCGAGACUUUAACCACGAGGCAAGUCCAACGUACGUGGCGCGUGUGUCAGAUUGGAAAAGCUAUUUUCGAGUCCGCUUAAAUUCCUCUUUCCUAGGUCUGGGUUACUGUCUAAAAAUUAGGAAAGUUAUUUUCAAACCGAUUCGAUAUAUUGUCGCCAUAUUUAGAUUAAAUAUUCUUAAACUGUAAUUCGCGAAAUCGUAGGAGUCGUAAUAGAGUCGUAACUAUCGAUAAAUGUCGAUAAUACUGGUAUAUUAUCGAUAAAUGUCGAUAAUAUCGGUAUGUUAUCGAUAAUUCGAUAUAUCGACAAUAUAUCGAUAAUAAAUGAAAGUAACUAAAAUAUUUUUUUUUAUUCAAAUUUAUUAUUAAAGAUUAUUUUUAUUGCAAUUUAUUAUAUGUAAUAUUAUUUUUAGAUUUUAAUAAUAAUUUUCAAUAAAAAAAAUAGGAACUUCAUUCACUUCUAUCUAUUAAUGAUAUUUUAACGAUAUUAUCGAUAUAUCGAAAACUAUGAAUGUCGAUAAAAUAUCGAUAAUCAAUAGUCACAACUCUAAUCCGAAAAUGGUGGUUCGUUUUAAUCAUGUGUGAAUAAUUAAUUUUUAAAAAUGUAAUUGUUGCAAGGAAUCUUCGUUUAAAACGUCAACAAAAAGAAAAAAGAAAGAAAAAGAGAUAGAGAUUGAUGAAAUUGAAAAGUGUCUGGACAAAGUAUUUCCACACGAUUCACGAUUCUUCUUUCUAGAAUCUAGGUUAGUAAAGGAUAAUUCAUCGAGCAUUGCACCGAACUUCUCUAACUAACCGAGAAACUCGAAGAAAUUAAGUGCGCUAGAUUUAAAGAAUAUAUAACCGUAUUUUACGCUGUUCGGAAUGCUUUUAAUGAAAAUCAACGGUGCAUCGAGGGAAACUGCCACACGGUAAAACGGUACUCCAUUUGUACGAGUAACACGAGCAUGUAUCGUUAAAAUUACGACGCAUUAAGGCGAGGAACGUGCCCGUGAUAAUUUAUAUGCAGUAGAACGAACGUGUCUGGGAUAGAUGUGUGACGAGCACGCGGAAUCAUUCCUCUAGGCUUCACAUGCGCCAACUGAUUAAGGGACAACGAUAAUCGGCCGCGGCAAUUAAACUCUGUCAGAUUCAAAAGAAAUCACGUCUUUGUAAAGCUUUCCGUGCGCUUCAUUUUCUCGAUCAUGGAUCAGAAUACAUCACGCGAUACAAGAAUGGAUUAAAGCGAUGUAUGAUCUCGAGUUAAGGAUAUCACUACUUUCGAAUAUGGAAUCAAUGCUCCAACUUAAAUGAUUCUUCUUAGAAAAUAUAAUGCAAUAUUGAUUAUCUAAAUCACUGUUUUUCAAUUACUGUAGAUAACGACCUCCUAAGAAGAUCGUGAAAUAAUAGUCGUUAUAGUUAUUUUUAUUUGCAAGUAUUUAUGUAAGAUUAUAUUUACACAGAAAAUUUUUUGAUGACAAUUUUUAACAUUCAUAGAAAUCACGUACAGGGUGUUUCUGAAAUCAAGAAAUAAAAUAAAAAUGCAUUAGAAAAAGAAGAGGAUAGGAAGGAAAUUAAGUUUAAAGAUUCGUUAGAAAUAAAAUAUGAUGUUCUUAUUAACACAAAGAAGGAUGCAUCAACAUAAAGCGUUUUGUCUCAAAAAACACUAAAGACAUUUGAUCUAAAUAAGAAAACAAUUCUAUAUUAUCAGCUUUCUUUUCUCCAAUAAUCGUUUUGUCUCUUAUUAAAUAUUUGUUAUCAAAUAUGAGGCGAUAAAAAAGACGAAAAUAAGCUCACUUCGAGACACCCGAUAGAACAAAAGUGUGCAACAGUAGAUGGCAUUCACGGAACAAACAAGGGGGCCCUUUAAUACAAUAUUACUGGCUACAUCUUGUGUCCGUGAACUCAUGGGGUGCGUGAGACACGCUCAUUAUACAGGAUGUCCUAUUGAAAUCGUUAACCUCGGAUACUACGCCCUUUGUUAAUUUAUAUAAUAAAAAAGAGAGGCAUCGAUGUCGGACAAAGACAGCCAACGAACAUAAAUCUCACGCAAUAUCAAGAAGAAACUUCUAAUUCACCUAAGUAUUUCUUACCUGAGUUUAGCCGCAUAUUCCACCUCGAUGGCGCAUCGAUCGCGAAUGAAAUGGCCGUACCUUUCGAGGAACUCUAUCCCUUUUUGCGUAUGCAGGGAUAGAUUCUCGUACUGGUCCUGUAACAAAAAGACAAAAAUAAAAUGAAUGGACAUGCUUUAAGAUAUUCAGAAUAUCGAAAAGGGGAAAAAAGCAAAGUUUUAUCGUACUAUUAAUUUCUAAUGCUUUUUUUUAAUGGUAUUUCAGCUAUCUAAAAUCUACGAAAAAUCUAAAUUAUUGAUUUUAUAAAUAUUUUUUUAAAAAUAAAUUUAAUUAUAAUGUUUUGUACUGGAGUAAACUGAAAGAAUAUCAUUCCAUGAGCCAAGUAUUCAGUGCAGUCGACGACUGAGAAAACCUCUUGACACGAACACACUCUCGUACACACAUACACGUCACACACCUCGGGACAAUGAGAGAUUUCGCAAGGCUGCCGGUAGAAAGAUUUCUGGCCGUUUAGCAGCUCGGCACGAAAAGUGAAACUGGACUCUGUUGCCGCAACGUGCACCCGCGACUGGUCGAACACCAUCAGACCAAGGAUCCAUCGGUUCUACCCAUAUUAUCAGGCACAUGAAUCGCCUCUACCAUACAAUCUCGACUUGUUACUUCUUCCUCUGACGAAUUUUCAUUCAUAUCCUGACCGAGCCUCCUGAAUGAAACAUGUAAAAUACACGUCACGUGGAGACAUCUUUGCACGAUUUACCUACAAUCGAUAAAACACGUAUUACAUAUAACAUGAUCGUAAAUCGAAGCACUGUAUACAGUGCCAUCUAUAAAUGAUAUACAGAUCGGAACAUCGUAUUUUACGCGUUUCAACAAGAGGAUCCGAGUCGAGCAACGCCACGCGUGCCAACCGUCAUCAAUCGAAAAUGUCUGAUUCAUUCACGCAAAUGGAGAGGAAACGCUCUACUUGUUCUCUCUGAUCGUGGAAUAUCGUAUUCUCGGCUGAAGAACGAUUCGCCUCGCGUGAUGAACCGAAAACGAUUAACUAACAUAAAACGGCUACGACACGAAGAAGUUGCUCAAGGUUCUGGGAACGCGAAAGAAAACGACGUGGCUGGUGUUACGGAAGCUUAAUCGUUCAAGGACGAUCCUGGCCUUUCAACGUUUACGCUUAGUCGCGGUUUAAGGACAAAUCUAAGGUAUCGAGCAUCGACAACGUUUAACUCGGAUCGUGUUCAGGGAAAGAGAGUGGAAAGAAUGGAGGGGGGGGGGAGAGGCUGAUCGAGUCGCCUAUACUCUCUUGGCAUUCGAAACGCGUUACUUUCAUUUCUAACAAGUAGCCAUUCAAGGGCCACGCACUGAUUGUGAGACGUUGGUAGUCACACGCGUCCAUGUGUGUACAGGAGAGAGAUAUGGUUGAUCGAUGGCUCUUUCCUUUCCUGAGAUCCCCAUCUCGAGGAUCCAACCGUGCAAAAAGGAAACCGGGAAAAGAAAAAAAAAAACGAAACGAGAUCUCUUGACGCAUCGAUGUCACAUGUCUAGGAUAUAUCUGGUCUCUCAGGACGCAUUAAGGUCGAUAGAUGAAAAACGCCACGACCGCCGCCCUAUGACUCACCCCUUGGGCUCGAUCUUUUUCAAAGAGGUGCACUUGCACACACCGGCCUAACCUUGCCAAGCGCGGACUAUUCAGGUCGGGUUAGGUCAUCCCCUGGAGAUAAAUACAGACUUUCCAUUAUAUGUGUACAGGAUGAAUCAGGUAUGAGUAGGCAGGUACGUGGUGAAAAAAAUGAGUCGAAAAGGGGGAAAUUACAUUUUUUUUUUCUUCUCAUGAUUCGAAACUCUUUUACACAAAUUAUAAUUUGUGUGAAAUAAAUUACGUUUUAUUUUUUUCACGGUAUGAACAGAACAUUCGUAAUUUAUUUCUAUUUGUUUCUAGAUUUUAGAAUUGGCGAUUUUACAUUAAUUCGUUUCAAUUCUUUGCGAGAUAUUUUUGCAUGCAGUCUCUCGGUCGGAUGUAUCACUUAUCCUGGGUCACCCUGUAUAUGUGACAGGUACCUUUGUGGGACUACCUGCCGCCGCUGCUACUUUCUUCUUACUUUUACCAGGCCUCGAGUUUCGGGCUUUCAAACUGGUCCACGACAUCCUCGAGCAAAUAUCGCGACCAAUAUUUAAAGUCGUAUAUUUUUUCUCUUCCUUCAAUAACUCUUUCCGAUUUAAAGAAUCGUUGAAAAGAUUUUUCGAAGGCAAUUAUAAAUGAGUAGGAAAAAAUAUAUUUACAUAUCUUGGCAUCGCGACCAAUAUCUCGAUCUCUUCGUCUUUUUUGAUUGAAAAAUCGUUAAGAAGGUUUUUUCAAUUAUAAUGACUACAAAAAAAUAAAGUAAUAUGCUUCUUUUUCCAAUAAAUCGUUUCUUAGAUAGACCACUUUUGCAAUAUAAAAUUCUUGUAUAGCCAUGUAAUAAUUAAUUAAUCAAGUUAAUUAAUACCACAAAAUAUUACAAUAAAUAUAAAAGCGAUGUGCAGAUAUUUUUUCGCAGCCAUUGCACACAUUUUAAAAUAUUACUGUAAUUCUCUUGUGCUACAUUUUCACGAAUAUUCCUUCUCGGUAUAACCGGUUUAACGUACCGCUUCAAACACUUUAAUCGAAUAAGAAAAAAAAAAGAAAGAAAGAAAGAAGGAUAAAAAAAAUUAAAAAAGGUAGUUCCUGAAACCUUGCGGAGAGAAGUUCAAAGAUAAAACCAGAAAGGGACGGUUAGAACAGGUCUAAGAAGCGCGUAACCUUUGAUUAACUGAAAUUCCUUUUCGUUCGCGUGCAACGGAAGUACAAUCCUGUCGAUGGUACCGAAAAAUGCUCGUCGAAAAUGCCCGACGAGGUUGGAAAUGUUUCCAAGAGCAGGUCGGCGUUAAUUAAUUCGAGAAGAGCGAGCUGGAAAAGCGUUGAGCCAGUGGGAAAAAGCGAGGAAGACGGGCACCGUGAAAAAUCAAUAGCCUGGGCUCGCAUAUACGCGCUAUUGCGAAAAGAAAAGAAGAAAAAACUCUAUCGUUUGAAAAAAAAUAAAAAGGAAAAGGAAACGAAACGUUGUAAAAAUAAUUUAGAUACAAGGGAACGCGCGAUAAGGGUACGGAGGGGGGGUCUCUCGGACAAGUGUGUAUUAUGAGUCAUGAAAUCGCGUUGGGGUGCUUUCGUACCCUCCACCACCACCUAUUGAUCCUGCAUUUCUGUAUACACACUCACGCGAUUCCAAAGGAGCGAUAGAGAGAAUCGGGGAAACGAGGGCGAUGGAAAGAGGAUGACGGGGGACAGACAGACAGAUAGAGGAAACACAGGCAGGAGAAAUUUGUCGUGCGAGAACACAAAUGGAUAUAUAAAUGCUACUUGAAAAGAUAUUCGUUCGAGGGAACGAACAGGAAGGAUUGUCGAUAAUACCAGUGAUCGUUGGGAUCGAAUACGAUGAUUUAAAUGAUGAAUCCCAACUAUUUCGAAGUUUUAAAUCUUUGAACUUAUAAAUUGAUGUAUAUGAUGUAUUUAUACUCUUUUGCGGAUCAUUGAUUCAGAUUUUGGAUAAGUAUUGAAGAUGUAGAAACAGCAGGAUGUCGGUCAAAUAUUGAUGAAGAGCAAUCGAAGAUUACAAACACUUCCACAAUUUCAAAAAAAAAACUGAGAAAAAGCAGUAUGAAAUUAUUGCUUCAACCUAAACGCAUUAAAAAUAAAAAUAUUUAUUAUUCACAGUGAAUUGAGUGAAUCUUUUUUCAAUUUUUGGGUAAAUCAUCCUCUCUUGCUGCAAGAUUUUCAAUUCAAUCUUUGAAUUCAAAUCGUUCGGAUCAAAUAAAAUAGACGGAUAAAAUAAACAGUGGAUAGACGAAAGAAAAGUGGGCCAAAGGAAAACAAUGCAAAGAGAGAUAUGCGAACGGUCCAUUGGCGUAUACGCAUCAAGACACGAGGAUAUUCCACACCUUUAUCUCUGUUCAUAAUCCGUCCCUGUGUACUAACCAGUGAAACAGGAGAACACGGUGGCUGCAUUUAAUAAGCAGACGUUGAACCAACACGCCAAGCGUACGAACGCCUUUAACGUCGUUGACUCGUGCGGUGCAUACGGGUGCACGCAACGUGUUCGAGGUGGUGCAUACUUAGUUAAAUGCACCCUGUGCGUGCACGCGCAAUCGCAUUGACAAAGAAGAAGGAAAAAAAAGGAAAGAAAAGUAUAGAAAAGACUAAUUGCCAGCACAGUCGCGAUACUCGUCGACGUUACAAAGCUGCAUGAUAGAAACGCUGAGAAUGCGCCGUUGUCUUUAACCCUUUUGCAUUCGAAGCGCGACUAUCACUCGCCAAUUCGAAUGGAAAUUCAGAGACUAAAUCGACGGAUAUAUGUUGCGAUAAACGUGCUAUUUAUCGUUUAGGAGCCUUGGCAACGGCUUUUUUAAAUAUUUUCCAUAAAUUUGGAAUACCGUUUCUUUUAUUUGUUUUUUUCAUUUUCUUUGUUGUUCUUCUUUAUUAUCUAUUCAAAGGCGAAUUAUAAUCAUCUAUGUUCAUUUUCUGCUGUUAUUUGUUUUAUUAUUUAUCAAGAGAUGAAAUUAAAAUACUUUGGUUCUCUUGCAUGUUUCUUAUAAAAUUAAUAUUUCAGAAUAAUAAGUCCUGGUAAAAAUUCUUUUAUUUCUGCUAUUUAUUUUUUCAAUUUCUUCCCUUAUUUAUUGUACCCUUUAUUUCCAUAUGUCUGAAAUCGAACAAUAAUUUCUAAAUUCAAUUCCAAAUGAGGUUGUGAAUUCCUCCCACGUUCCAAAAAUAUUUCUUUCUCGCGAGUUACCAUACGUAGGUAACACGUUUCACGAAAACUAAAAAAAAAAUAAAAUCAAAAUUAUAAAUAAAAGUAAAAUAUAUUUUUACAUCAUCAAUCUUUUUAACAUUUUUCGCAACAAACACGUUCCAAAUAUACCCAAUUCCCCAAAAUUCCCCUCGGGACAAAGGAAAAAAAAAUUAUCGAGCACAAAGAGUUAAUGCAACCCAACGUGAAUAAUCCGCAGAAAGAUACGCACAGUGCUUGCGGAUGUCUCGCGAAAAUAGCAUGCUUAAACUCGGCGAACAGAGGAAUGGCUGUCGCCGUGUGCGCGUUGCAACCAAACUAUAAAACCUCAAAUUCAGAUUUCGCUCCUUAAAUUAUUCUUAAGGGUCGAAACGCACUCCAUGAUCCCCCUCCCUAUCGGAGGAUUGUUCGUUUUCGCGAAACGGGACAGGGUCGAGUCGGCGACGCGAAAAAAUACAUCCAGAAUUAGGUACCCUUGAAUCUCUUCUUUGAAACAGCAUACGGGGAACGAAAGCGAGUGCACUCGUCACUCAAACGCCGAAAUUCAAACAACUUUCUUCCCCCAGCCUUUCUCUUCGAUGACCUUCCGAGGACGUCGUUCCUCCACGCCAGUGUACACAUAUGUAUAUACGCCAUCGUUCGAGAGUAUCCGGACAUAUGUUCAUUUCUGACGGAAAGUUAUUUUAAUUUUCAAAUUGCUUUGGAAAGACAAAAGAAAUUGCAGUGAUUCCUCCUUUUUUCUAAUUCAAUUAAUCCUGUUGAUUAGUACGAUACGAAAAGAAAUUCUUACUAUCUUAAAUUGUUUCUAUUUCUGUAUUCUCGCCAUUUCAUUCAGAUAAAUUUAUAAAUUAUUUAUAUCUAUUAAAUUAUAAUAUAUAUGAAUAAUAAUAAAUACGAGUUCAAUAUUUGA